AGGAUGAACGCUGGCGGCGUGCCUAACACAUGCAAGUCGAACGUCCUGUCUCGCAAGAGGCAGGGAGUGGCGGACGGGUGAGUACCACGUGGGUUAUCUACCGUGAGGUGAGGAAUACCGGCGAGAAAUCGCCGACAAGACCGCAUAGCCUCGGUGCAAGCCGAGGAAAGCUUUCUCGAGAGAGGGAGCGCCACACGAGGAGCCUGCGCCCGAUUAGCUAGCUGGUGGAGUAACGGUUCACCAGGGCGACGAUCGGUAGCUGGUCUGAGAGGACGAUCAGCCACACUGGGAUUGAGAACGGCCCAGACUCCUACGGGGGGCAGCAGUGAGGAAUUUUCGUCAAUGGGGGCAACCCUGAACGAGCAACGCCGCGUGCAGGAAGAAGGUUUCGGAUCGUAAACUGCCUUUCUCGGGGAAGAGAACGGACGGUACCCGAGGAAUCGACGCCCGGCUAACUACGUGCCAGCAGCCGCGGUAA
rnacentral:rRNA from 1 species